rnacentral:rRNA from 1 species
CGGAGGAUCCAAGCGUUAUCCGGAUUUAUUGGGUUUAAAGGGUGCGUAGGUGGCCUGUUAAGUCAGGGGUGAAAGACGGUAGCUUAACUAUCGCAGUGCCCUUGAUACUGAUGGGCUUGAAUGAACUAGAGGUAGGCGGAAUGUGACAAGUAGCGGUGAAAUGCAUAGAUAUGUCACAGAACACCAAUUGCGAAGGCAGCUUACUAUGGUUUUAUUGACACUGAGGCACGAAAGCGUGGGGAUCAAACAGGAUUAGAUACCCUGGUAGUCCACGCCCUAAACGAUGAAUACUCGAUGUUGGCGAUAUACGGUCAGCGUCUAAGCGAAAGCGUUAAGUAUUCCACCUGGGGAGUACGCCCGCAAGGGUG